CUUUUUUAUGCUUUUAAAAAAAAGGUACAUUUUAAGAUAAAAGGCCCCAUAAAGGACCUCACUACAUGUGCAUUAUGAGAGCACAUGAUCAGGAUCAUUAUUCGGGCCAUCAGGAUGUAAAGUUCUGACUAUCAGUGUGAAUGCUACAUUUCUAAACGUGUCAGGAUCUACUGUAAUUGACAGUUUUUGACCCCUUUAUUUUAUGAGUGAUUGAAGGGUACAUUUAAGGAGAAGAGUGUGUGUGAGUGAGAGGUUGUGUACACGCGUGAGCCAGAAGAUGUGCUGCAGGAGACACUAAAACAAACAUACACGAAAGUCUAAAAUAAAAGUGGCUGUGAAGCCUUUACACCUGA